CGACUUAGUGGCGGACGGGUGAGUAACGCGUGGACAACCUACCGUAUACAGGGGGAUAACGGCCGGAAACGGCCGCUAAUGCCGCAUAUGCGCACAGCGCCGCAUGGCGCGGGGCGGAAAGCUUUCGCGGUAUACGAUGGGUCCGCGUCCGAUUAGAUUGUUGGCGGGGUAACGGCCCACCAAGUCGACGAUCGGUAGCCGGCCUGAGAGGGCGGACGGCCACACUGGGACUGAGACACGGCCCAGACUCCUACGGGAGGCAGCAG
rnacentral:rRNA from 1 species